UAACUUUCAACAACGGAUCUCUUGGCUCUUGCAUCGAUGAAGAACGCAGCGAAAUGCGAUAAGUAAUGUGAAUUGCAGAAUUCCGUGAAUCAUCAAAUCUUUGAACGCAAAUUGCACUCUUUGGUAUUCCGAAGAGUAUGCUUGCUUGAGGGUUGUU
rnacentral:rRNA from 1 species